rnacentral:rRNA from 1 species
UUUCCAGACUCCUACGGGAGGCAGCAGUGAGGAAUAUUGGUCAAUGGCCGAGAGGCUGAACCAGCCAAGUCGCGUGAGGGAUGACGGCCCUACGGGUUGUAAACCUCUUUUGUCGGGGAGCAAAGAGAGUCACGUGUGGCUCAUUGAGAGUACCCGAAGAAAAAGCAUCGGCUAACUCCGUGCCAGCAGCCGCGGUAAUACGGAGGAUGCGAGCGUUAUCCGGAUUUAUUGGGUUUAAAGGGUGCGUAGGCGGACUGUUAAGUCCGGGGUAAACGCCGGGGGCCCAACCCCGGCGAGCCGUUGAAACUGGCUGUCUUGAGAUGUCGAGAGGUAUGCGGAAUGCGCAGUGUAGCGGUGAAAUGCUUAGAUAUUGCGCAGAACUCCGAUUGCGAAGGCAGCAUACCGGCGGCGAUCUGACGCUGAGGCACGAAAGCGUGGGUAUCGAACAGGAUUAGAUACCCCUGUA